AAAACGUCUUACUGCAACCUGUCUGUCCACGUCCCCUCACUCUAAGCCAUUCCAUUACACAAAGCUAUGGGCCCAGGAGCGAUGUCAUUGGAACCCUUGUGUGAUACACAAACCCAUCUGCACUGCAUUGGGAUGGCCUGCGUUAGACCUCACGGAAUCCUCUAUGCUGUCUCUACCACCUCUAACUCUCUCCCUUCGUGCCACAGAUAUUUAAGCCAAACUACUCUUUGUGUUCCAGUGUUUUGGUUCCCCAGCGAUGACGGGCUUUCACUGUCUGCCUGGAAUACUUUUCUGGAUCAAUUCCUUGUCCUGAGGUCCCAGCUUAACCUCACCUUCUCAAAGUUUUUUUUUUUUUCAGUGCCCCCUGGAAAACAGUUCCUGUUCUGCUAUUCUAGAUCUCAAACCCCUUUGUUCAUCUUCCUUAUGGUUCUUUCUCUAGCUUGAUAAUUAUAGUCGCUUCCUGUAUCGAUAUUCUUGACUCUGUCUUUUGCCAUGGUUGGAGCAGGGUACAAAGCCUUUCAAAAGGUUGCAGCUCAGGACUGGGGCAUGGCUCAGGGCCAGAGACUUCACGUGUGAGGUCCUGGGCUCAGUCCCCAGCCUGGCAGAAAUGAAAGAUGAAAACCAACUGUGAGUCAGUAAGUGAAACCCCUGAAGGGGUUCACCCAUGCCCUCCCUCCCUACACACACAGCAGGGCUCAAUAAAAGCUCUAGAGUGUCUGAGGACCAUGUGCCUCCUGGGCUCACAGCUGGACGGGGCAAACACAGGCUCUGCACCUGUGAGCCCUGGGGGUGGGGCGAGGCAGCCCCUCCUCAGCUUCACCUGCAACUGGCAUCUAUGAGCUCCUCUUACAAUGUCCCUCGGGGCUGGGCGGUGGUUCCCUUGGUGGCACCUGCAGCUCCCCUCUGUGCCUUUUCUGCUUUGGGAAGAAAACAGCUUCUCCGAGCUCUUGUGUUUGAACAGCUGCUCUGC
rnacentral:lncRNA from 1 species